rnacentral:rRNA from 1 species
UCGAUUCCUGCAAAGGANCGACCCGAGGACAUGUUUAAAUGCACGGGCGUUCGGGACGAGGGAAACCACGAACCGAUGCCCCGAGCACGGCGUCGGCCACCGGUCGCUCGUCGUAGCACACACCCAAACCCCCGGGGCUGCAUAAACGGCAAGGAAAACAAGAAAAGGACGGCCUGCCUCCCGUCGCGCCGUACGGUGCACGUGGAGGAUCACGGGCGCCUAAAGAAACA